rnacentral:rRNA from 1 species
AUUGAACGCUGGCGGCAGGCCUAACACAUGCAAGUCGAAUGGUAACAGGAAACAGCUUGCUGUUUCGCUGACGAGUGGCGGACGGGUGAGUAAUGUCUGGGAAACUGCCUGAUGGAGGGGGAUAACUACUGGAAACGGUAGCUAAUACCGCAUAACGUCGCAAGACCAAAGAGGGGGACCUUCGGGCCUCUUGUCAUCAGAUGUGCCCAGAUGGGAUUAGCUAGUAGGUGGGGUAACGGCUCACCUAGGCGACGAUCCCUAGCUGGUCUGAGAGGAUGACCAGCCACACUGGAACUGAGACACGGUCCAGACUCCUACGGGAGGCAGCAGUGGGGAAUAGUGCACAAUGGGCGCAAGCCUGAUGCAGCCAUGCCGCGUGUAUGAAGAAGGCCUUCGGGUUGUAAAGUACUUUCAGCGGGGAGGAAGGGAGUAAAGUUAAUACCUUUGCUCAUUGACGUUACCCGCAGAAGAAGCACCGGCUAACUCCG